rnacentral:lncRNA from 1 species
AUGGGAUUAUUUUGUUUAGAAGUGAGAUCAUAUACUUUCAUAUGGGAAGGGGAUGCGGCAACUAAGCGACAAACGAGCUAAGACUCUCCAUUCAUAUAUAUAUAUAUAUAUAUAUAUAUAUAUAUAUAUAUAUAUAUAUAUAUAUAUAUAUAUAUAUAUAUAUAUAUAUAUAUAUAUAUAUAUAUAUUAUUGAAGCGUUUUAAUUAAAAAAAAGUUACAACGGGUCAUUUCCUAAUGCAAAAAUGGAAAACUAUUGCUCGACGUGUUUAGGAUCAUAACAUGUCAGCGUUUUUAUAUGUAUUCGGAUUAUAUUUGUAGUUUCACUUUGUC